rnacentral:rRNA from 2 species
GNGGGGCUAUACAUGCAAGUCGAACGAGCUCUCCCAAAUUGAUUUUAUGCUUGCAUAAAUGAUUUUUGGAUUCGGAGCGAGUGGCGAACUGGUGAGUAACACGUGGGUAACCUGCCCCAAAGCGGGGGAUAACAUUUGGAAACAAGUGCUAAUACCGCAUAAUUAGUUGGAACCGCAUGGUUCCAACUUGAAAGAUGGCUCUGCUAUCACUUUGGGAUGGACCCGCGCCGUAUUAGUUAGUUGGUGAGAUAAAAGCCCACCAAGACGAUGAUACGUAGCCGACCUGAGAGGGUAAUCGGCCACAUUGGGACUGAGACACGGCCCAGACUCCUACGGGAGGCAGCAGUAGGGAAUCUUCCACAAUGGACGAAAGUCUGAUGGAGCAACGCCGCGUGAGUGAUGAAGGUUUUCGGAUCGUAAAACUCUGUUGUUAAAGAAGAACAAGUGUUAGAGUAACUGUUAACACUUUGACGGUAUUUAACCAGAAAGCCACGGCUAACUACGUGCCAGCAGCCGCGGUAAUACGUAGGUGGCAAGCGUUGUCCGGAUUUAUUGGGCGUAAAGCGAGCGCAGGCGGUUUUGUAAGUCUGCUGUGAAAGCCCUCAGCUUAACUGAGGAAGUGCAGUGGAAACUACAAAACUUGAGUACAGAAGAGGAAAGUGGAACUCCAUGUGUAGCGGUGAAAUGCGUAGAUAUAUGGAAGAACACCAGUGGCGAAGGCGGCUUUCUGGUCUGUUACUGACGCUGAGGCUCGAAAGCAUGGGUAGCGAACAGGAUUAGAUACCCUGGUAGUCCAUGCCGUAAACGAUGAAUACUAGGUGUUGGAGGGUUUCCGCCCUUCAGUGCCGCAGCUAACGCAUUAAGUAUUCCGCCUGGGGAGUACGACCGCAAGGUUGAAACUCAAAGGAAUUGACGGGGGCCCGCACAAGUGGUGGAGCAUGUGGUUUAAUUCGAUGCUACGCGAAGAACCUUACCAGCUCUUGACAUCUUCUGCCAACCCAAGAGAUUGGGCGUUCCCUUCGGGGACAGAAUGACAGGUGGUGCAUGGUUGUCGUCAGCUCGUGUCGUGAGAUGUUUGGGGUUAAGUCCCGCAACNAGNCGGCAAC